rnacentral:lncRNA from 10 species
GUAAUCCCAGUACUUUGGAAGGCUGAGGUGGGUGGAUCACCUGAGGUCAGGAUUUUGAGACCAGCCUGGCCAAUAUGGCGAAAUCCUAUCUCUACUAAAAAUACAAAAAUGGCUGACUCUUUUCGGACUCAGCCCGCCUGCACCCAGGUGAAAUCAACAGCCUUGUUGCUCACCCACAUUGCAGCCCAGGGCUGCUCCCCACCCGCUUCUCCGUGUCUCUACCUUUUUCUUAACCUUGCCUCCUUCACUAUAGGCAAGCUUCCACCCUCCAUUCCUCCUUCUUCUCCCUUAGCCUGUGUUCUUAAGAACUUAAAACCUCUUCAACUCUCGCCUGACCUAAAAUCUAAGCAUCUUAUUUUCUUCUGCAACACCGCUUAGCCCCAAUACAAACUUGACAAUGGCUCUAAAUAGCCAGAAAACGGCACUUUCAAUUUUUCCAUCCUACAAGAUCUAGAUAAUUCUUGUCGUAAAAUGGGCAAAUGGUCUGAGGUGCCUAACGUCCAGGCAUUCUUUUACAUAUCAGUCCCUCCCCUCUGUUCCCAAUGCAACUCAUCCCAAAUCUUCCUUCUUUCCCUUCCGCCUGUCCCCUCAGUCCCAACCCCAAGCAUUGCUGGGUCUUUCUAAUCUUCCUUUUCUACAGACCCAUCUGACCUCUCCCCUCCUCGCCAGGCCGAGCUAGGUCCCAAUUCUUCCUCAGCCUCGGCUCCUCCACCCUAUAAUCCUUUUAUCACCUCCCCUCCUCACACCCAGUCCAGCUUACAGUUUCAUUCCGCAACUAGCCGUCUCCCACCUGCCCAGCAAUUUCCUCUUAAAAAGGUGGCUGGAGCUAAAGGCAUAGUCAAGGUUGAUGCUCCUUUUUCUUUAUCCGACCUCUCCCAAAUCAGUUAGCGUUUAGGCUCUUUCAUCAAAUAUAAAAACCCAGCCCAGCUCACGGCUCAUUUGGCAGCAGCCCUGAGACGCUUUACAGCCCUAGACCCUGAAAGGUCAAAAGGCCGUCUUAUUCUCAAUAUACAUUUUAUUUUUUACCCAAUCUGCUCCCGACAUUAAAUAAAUCUCCAAAAAUUAAAUUCCAGCCCUCAAACCCCACAACAGGACUUAAUUAACCUCACCUUCAAGGUGAACAAUAAUAGAGUAGCAGCAGCCAAGUAGCAACAUAUUUCUGUGUUGCAAUUCCUUGCCUCCACUGUGAGCCAAACCCCAGCCACAUCUCCAGCACACAAGAACUUCCAAACGCCUGACGGCAGCUGCAAGGCGUUCCUCCAGAACCUCCUCCCACAAGAGCUUGCUACAAGUGCAAGAAAUCUGGCCACUGGGUCAAGGAAUGCCCACAGCCCAGGAUUCCUCCCAAGCUGUGUCCCAUCUGUGCCACUGAAAAUCGGACUGUUCAACUCACCUAGCAGCCACUCCCAGAGGCCCUGGAACUCUGGCCCAAGGCUCUCUGACUCCUUCCCAGAUCUUCUCGGCUUAGCAGCUGAAGACUGAGACUGCCCGAUUGCCUCGAAAGCCUACAGGACCAUCACAGACUCUCUGGGUAACUCACAGUGGAAGAUUCAGGUCUUGCACAGAAACUGAGCCUUGAUUUUCCGCAGAAUAUACUGUGACCAAGCCUCCUGCAGGGCUGCCUGUACGUUAAAGAAAUGGAAGCGUCUUGAAUCGUGUCCAUCGUCCCUCCUUUACACAAAGUAAUCACCUCCAGCUGGGCCAAGUUGAUUGAGGAAACGUUCAGUUUUCACAUGAUUUUGCUGUAGCACCAUAAUGAAUGUAUUUCUUUGAUGGAAGAAAGAAGCUUCAUGAAAUAAACUGCUUAAGGAUUUGAAGUUGGAGCUGAAAACAUGGGCUGCUUUGUUCUUAAUGACAACUGCUUUGCCAUCUAAAACAUUUCUCCUUUUUGAAGGAUCUGUCUUUUCUCUUCCAGCCACAACCCUCGAGCUACAAUAACAGGCUCAUGAUUUUUUUAGAUGCCAAGGUUAUGAAUACUCUUUUAUGAAUAUUUUCCUUUGAACUCAUUUCUCUUGAAGAAGAAAAAUAGCCCUACAUAUUGCAGGAUUGACAAUAACAGACAAAACGUACAAAUUGUUCUCUUAGGGGCAGUAAAAUGCUCCAAAAUGCACAUAGAAAAAUUCCAAAUGCAACCUGAUGUUUAUGGAGCACUGCCUUUGCAGCUAUAAUUUUUAGAAAGUAAUAUUUCUGACUGACAUGAAUUAUACAGAGCAUAUUUCAGAGACUAAUAUCAGGUUAAUGCCUUAAAAUGUCUCCGUUUAUGACAUCAUGGCUGCUUUUCCUAUAUCAGUGCAAACUCUUAGUGAGUAGAAUUUGAGGAUAUGUCUUUUCAAAGGAAGAAAACCUUCACUGAAUUAAGCUGCUUAUGGUUUUAUUUUUUCUUUUAUCCCAUUUCAACAUAUCCACCAACCUCCUCUAAAAAUAAUUCAACUAAUGUGAACUCAACAGAUUAUAGUAGAUCUCUUAUUAAUUUCAUUUUGCCUCCAAAGGAGCUUAUCAUUUAGGCUUAUAAUUAUGUAUGCAGUACUGUCGACUAAUGUUUAGGUUCCUCAUUAAAACUUCAUUUCAUUCUGUUUUAAUAUCAUCAGUCUGUUAGACCAUUUAUUUUCUCAUGUUAAAAAAUAUGUGUUUUCCCUGAACUCUUUCCAUAUGUUUUCUCUCAUCCAAAAAAUCCAGAAAACUCAGCUCCCUUUAAUCCUGCUUUGUGGCUUAGAUACUUUAGCCUGGAACCACUCGUGUUGAUUUGUAUAUACCCACACUUACGCAAAAAUAGCCUUCACUACGGCAGAGUAAUCAUUCUGCAUAGAAAUUAUGUGUCUCUGAAGCCUAUGUUGUCAGGUGAAUCGUGGCAGCAAUGACCUAAGAAUGCAUCCCCAGUUUGAAAUGACCUAUAAAAAUUUCAAGAUACAACUAUUGCUUUGCAUUUGGCAUCGGGAAUAUUCUGUAUAGUUCUUUUCAUGUAAAUGGGCAAUAUUCUAGAAUGGUUCCCAAGUAUAAGCUUUAGAGCUAGACUUCUUGGGUACAACUCCCACUAUUACCACUUACUAGUUAUGUAAUAUUGGAAAAUACACUUAACUACUCUGAGCAUCAUAAAGUAAGCUUACUAACA